CUGAAGCAAUGCAAAAGCAGCAGUGCCGAAGAAACUCGAAUCACCAAAAACACGAUACAAUAGCGCAGCUAAUAACAGAACAACCGUCAACAAGGCAUGUACAAUAACAACAAGGUCGCUGGUUCCAACGUAGUGUUUGCCGUGUAUCCACAUGAGGAACCAAUCAUACAACAUACUGCACGUUGGCCACCGAACAGACAGCUUGGAACUGCUACUCACCAACGACACAUUGAAGUAGAACAAGCACCCAAGAAAUCGAUAUGCUCACUCUGGUGAACCACAGGUGCCGCGUAUUCGCACCUGUGGUGCAGCAGCAAAAAGGGCAACCACCAAAGAAAUUAUCAUCACCAGGAAAGACACGAAACAACCUAAAUCCGGCAACCACGCCCGAAGAGAAAAAUCGUGGAAAAAAUCUAGCUGCCUUAUCUCCAACUGUGCAUUCCUCCUCUGUGUCAUAAAAAAACACCAGCACAAUGCCGAACACACCAAAAUAGAGAAUCCACACAUGCACAAUGCUGCAAGUACUUAAGUAUAUAUAUUACAGAUCCACAAGUUAAACCAGCCAACGGCAUCAACCAUAAAGGCAAAACAAUAACAACAACAACAACAAAUACAACAAGUACAACCACACAACCCACAAAGCACCCUAGACCAUCACCACUCUGCUUUCUUCACAAAGAAACACUCUUCAACAUCACUUGAACAUCAAGAACACCAGGCUAACCCAACUAUUGCCUAUAGGAAACUGUGGCAAUAUCAUCACAAAUGAUUCGACCUUCGCCUGCUGGAAAUCGAAUCAAUAUCACUACAAUCAGAUAACGCAACGAAAAAUAAGUACAUGGACCACAGAAAAAAAAGAGUGGAAUCAAAGAGCAACCUCUUCGUCGCUACCAAUUUAGCUCCCUUAGCAUCCCUAGCCUUCUCAUGCUCGUCAGCACCAUCAACCUUAUUGCUAUCAUGGCCAUCGCCGCCCCAUUCCCCACUCUAAAAAU
rnacentral:lncRNA from 1 species